UACGUAGGGUGCAAGCGUUUAAUCGGAAUUACUGGGCGUAAAGCGUGCGCAGGCGGUUUUGUAAGUCUGUCGUGAAAUCCCCGGGCUCAACCUGGGAAUUGCGAUGGAGACUGCAAGGUUAGAAUCUGGCAGAGGGGGGUAGAAUUCCACGUGUAGCAGUGAAAUGCGUAGAGAUGUGGAGGAACACCGAUGGCGAAGGCAGCCCCCCUGGGUCAAGAUUGACGCUCAUGCACGAAAGC
rnacentral:rRNA from 1 species